UACGAAGGGGGCUAGCGUUGUUCGGAAUUACUGGGCGUAAAGCGCACGUAGGCGGAUUUGUAAGUAGGGGGUGAAAUCCCCGGGCUCAACCCGGGAACUGCCUUCUAGACUGCAAGUCUGGAGAUCAGGAGAGGCGAGUGGAAUACCGAGUGUAGAGGUGAAAUUCGUAGAUAUCCGGAGGAACACCAGUGGCGAAGGCGGCCACCUGGGCUGUACCUGACGCUCAAACACGAAAGCUAGGGGAGCGAACGGG
rnacentral:rRNA from 1 species